rnacentral:rRNA from 1 species
AGCGAACGCUGGCGGCGUGCUUAACACAUGCAAGUCGCGCGCGAAAGGGAGCUUCGGUUUCUGAGUAGAGCGGCGAACGGGUGCGUAAGACGCGGGUGACCUAUCCUUGAGGCGGGGAUACCCCUUCGAAAGAGGGGCUAAUACCGGAUGAGCCCACAGGCAGAGAUGCCGAGGGGGCAAAGGGUGCGAUUUAAUAGGCGCAUGUCUUCAGGGAGGGGCCCGUGGCCUAUCAGCUAGUUGGUGUGGUAACGGCGCACCAAGGCGAAGACGGGUAGCUGGUCUGAGAGGAUGGCCAGCCACACGGGGACUGAGACACGGCCCCGACUCCUACGGGAGGCAGCAGUGGGAAUAUU